rnacentral:misc_RNA from 1 species
CGAGUUAGGGUCCGUCAAAGGCCCGACCUCCCAACCCUCAUGCUUAUUAUACCUCGUGUUGCUUCGGUAGGCCUGGUUAAACCUCCUGCCGGAGGACCGUAAAACGUCCUCUGGAGAGCGCCUACCGAUAGCCCAACUCCAAAACUCUGAAACUAAACGUGUCUUGUCUGAGUACGCCUAGAAAAAUAACAAAGCAAAACUUUCAACAACGGAUCUCUUGGUUCUGGCAUCGA